GGAAUAUUGGACAAUGGGCGCAAGCCUGAUCCAGCCAUGCCGCGUGCAGGAUGACGGUCCUAUGGAUUGUAAACUGCUUUUAUACAGGAAGAAACACUGGUUCGUGAACCAGCUUGACGGUACUGUAAGAAUAAGGAUCGGCUAACUCCGUGCCAGCAGCCGCGGUAAUACGGAGGAUCCAAGCGUUAUCCGGAAUCAUUGGGUUUAAAGGGUCCGUAGGCGGUUUAAUAAGUCAGUGGUGAAAGCCCAUCGCUCAACGGUGGAACGGCCAUUGAUACUGUUAGACUUGAAUUAUUAGGAAGUAACUAGAAUAUGUAGUGUAGCGGUGAAAUGCUUAGAGAUUACAUGGAAUACCAAUUGCGAAGGCAGGUUACUACUAAUUGAUUGACGCUGAUGGACGAAAGCGUGGGUAGCGAACAGGAUUAGAUACCCCUG
rnacentral:rRNA from 1 species